rnacentral:lncRNA from 1 species
GCAGAAAGUGCAAUGACAGUGUCUGCACAGGGACUGGAGAUUAUCUCUAGAAAAGAGCUUGGAGUGAGGAAAUUAGUUAAUGUGGAUGAAUGACGUUACCCAUGGAGAAUGAAGUAAGUAGCUAGAAGACAAAAGCCUCAGAACACAUAAAUCUCAACGGGUACUGAGUAGAGGACUCGGAGCUCUGAGGUAACUGGAGCUCAUGGCUAUCCUAGAACUUGGAUAACAUAAAGUUCUUGUUUCUACAAAGUGUGUAUCCUUUCCAUAUGUGAGAACUCUGAGGAAAUACAAACUUGGAACAAAAGAAAUAGUAAGGUAAUCUUAGAAAGAUGUUGAAUAGAAAGCAAGCUACGGUGACAUCUUAACUGUUUCACUGCCCAGCAAUCUAUACGUAUUGUCACUUGGGGACACUUAUGAUUCCACAUGAAGUGGAUAACCAGCUCAUAGUUCUUGUGGUACCGAAAACCAAGUAUUUGGCCGGGCAUGGUGUGGUGUACUCGUAAUCUCAGCUCCUUGGGAGGCUGAGGUAGGAGAAUCACUUGAACCUGGGAGGCCCAAGUUGCAGUGAGCCAAGAUUGCACCACUGCACUCCAGCCUGGGUGACAGAAUGAGACUCCGUUCCAACGCGAAGUCUCUUAAGACCAAGGAGAGCAGACAUUCUGAUGUUUCCCACAUUGACAGCACUCAUAAGGCCUUUCUCCAGUAUGAACUCUCCUGUGUUUAACGAGAUGGGAUGCUUCAGCAAAGGAUUUCCCAUAUUCACUGUACUCAUAAGGCCUUUCUCCAGUAUGAACUCUCC